GAGAAGCAUACAAUCUGAAAAUUACCUUAAACAUGUUUCCAGGCAAGUUGCCUUCUAGAUUGGUACCCUCAGAGUUCAUUCAGCACCUUGACGGAAAUGUCCAGUACAGAACAACCUGAAGACACCUAUUGAGAAGAGAGAGGAGCCAGAAACAGCUGUCCAGACCAGACAGCAGCCAGAUGGACUGUAUUGGACGGGCAAAGAUAAACAUUGGAGUGCGGGAUUGUUGGAGUGUUGUCCACGUGCCUUCUGCCUCUGCUUAUUGAUGGAUUGAAGUGGGGAAGGGUUCCAGGACACAGUCGUGGGGUCUUCUGCGCACAGAUGUCAGGUUGGCAUCAUGGUAUCAUCUGGAACCUGGUGGCUGUAAAAGAGUUAAGAUAUAAAGCAGAACAAAUUGUUGAAUAAUCAUGAACCUAAAGGCAAGAAAUUACAGAUGAAGAUUUGGGGUCUCUGUUUUGGAAAAAGCUGGGUUUGAAAGUCACCUUUGGAGUACAUCACACAUCUUCUUGGAAUCCUCAGCCCUAUUCCUGCUGUGAAGAUAGAGGAAUCCAAAAGCCAGCGGAGUUGCUUCUCUGGACCACACUUCUCUCUGACUACUGGUACUCCUUAUGUGGAGGCAUAUGGGGCUCAGUACUAGCCCCUUAAAGGUUGGCUAGGAGUUGUGCUUUCUGCAGCCUGAGCAUACCUCAUCUCUAGAUGCUGAACCAUUAGUUACUUUCCUUUUAUUUGGAGUCUC